UAACUUAGUGGCGAACGGGUGAGUAACGCGUGAGUACCUGCCCUGGAGUGGGGGACAACAGUUGGAAACGACUGCUAAUACCGCAUAAGCCGGCAUCGGAAAAGGAUUUAUUCGCUCAGAUGGACUCGCGUCCAAUUAGCUGGUUGGUGAGGUAACGGCCCACCAAGGCGACGAUUGGUAGCCGGACUGAGAGGUUGAACGGCCACAUUGGGACUGAGACACGGCCCAGACUCCUACGGGAGGCAGCAGUGGGGGAUAUUGCACAAUGGGGGAAACCCUGAUGCAGCGACGCCGCGUGGAGGAAGAAGGUUUUCGGAUUGUAAACUCCUGUCGUUAGGGACG
rnacentral:rRNA from 1 species